AACGUAGGACGCAAGCGUUAUCCGGAGUUACUGGGCGUAAAGGGCGUGUAGGCGGUGGGACAAGUCCCCCGUGAAAGACUUCGGCUCAACCGGGGGAGGUCGGGGGAUACUGUUCGACUAGAGGAUGUCAGAGGGACACGGAAUUCCGGGUGUAGUGGUGAAAUGCGUAGAGAUCCGGAGGAACACCAGUGGCGCAGGCGGUGUCCUGGGGCGUACCUGACGCUGAGACGCGAAAGCAUGGGGAGCGAACGGG
rnacentral:rRNA from 1 species